AUUGAACGCUGGCGGCAUGCUUUACACAUGCAAGUCGAACGGUAACAGGCCUUCGGGUGCUGACGAGUGGCGAACGGGUGAGUAAUGCAUCGGAACGUGCCCAGAGGUGGGGGAUAACGCAGCGAAAGCUGUGCUAAUACCGCAUGUGAUCUGAGGAUGAAAGCGGGGGACCAGGCAGCAAUGUUUGGCCUCGCGCCUUUGGAGCGGCCGAUGUCGGAUUAGUUAGUUGGUGGGGUAAAGGCCUACCAAGCCGACGAUCUGUAGCUGGUCUGAGAGGACGACCAGCCACACUGGGACUGAGACACGGCCCAGACUCCUACGGGAGGCAGCAGUGGGGAAUGUUGGACAAUGGGCGCAAGCCUGAUCCAGCAAUGCCGCGUGCGGGAAGAAGGCCUUCGGGUUGUAAACCGCUUUUGUACGGAACGAAAAGGCUCUGGCUAAUACCUGGGGCUGAUGACGGUACCGUAAGAAUAAGCACCGGCUAACUACGUG
rnacentral:rRNA from 1 species